CAGAGGGUAGUUUAAUUUAGAAUCUUAGCUU
rnacentral:tRNA from 2 species